rnacentral:rRNA from 1 species
UAGAGGAUGAACGCUAGCUACAGGCUUAACACAUGCAAGUCGAGGGGCAGCAUGUUGGUUGCUUGCAACCAAUGAUGGCGACCGGCGCACGGGUGAGUAACGCGUAUCCAACCUUCCGCAUAGUAGGGAAUAGCCCGGCGAAAGUCGGAUUAAUGCCCUAUGUUUUCCAUUGAGGACAUCUGAGCUGGAACAAAGAUUUAUCGCUAUGCGAUGGGGAUGCGUCUGAUUAGGUAGUCGGCGGGGUAACGGCCCACCGAGCCUACGAUCAGUAGGGGUUCUGAGAGGAAGGUCCCCCACAUUGGUACUGAGACACGGACCAAACUCCUACGGGAGGCAGCAGUGAGGAAUAUUGGUCAAUGGACGAGAGUCUGAACCAGCCAAGUAGCGUGCAGGAAGACUGCCCUAUGGGUUGUAAACUGCUUUUAUAGGGGGAAUAAAGUGGAGGCACGUGUGCCUUUUUGUAUGUACCCUAUGAAUAAGGACCGGCUAAUUCCGUGCCAGCAGCCGCGGUAAUACGGAAGGUCCGGGCGUUAUCCGGAUUUAUUGGGUUUAAAGGGAGCGCAGGCGGAAGGUUAAGCGUGACGUGAAAUGUACCGGCUCAACCGGUGAAUUGCGUCGCGAACUGGCUUUCUUGAGUGAGUACGACGGAGCCGGAAUUCGUGGUGUAGCGGUGAAAUGCUUAGAUAUCACGAAGAACGCCGAUUGCGAAGGCAGUCUCCGAGUCCUUAACUGACGCUAAUGCUCGAAAGUGCGGGUAUCGAACAGGAUUAGAUACCCUGGUAGUCCGCACGGUAAACG